GACGAACCCUGCGAACGUUGUUCGGAUUCACUGGGCUUAAAGGGCGCGUAGGCGGGUUUUCAAGUCCGGGGUGGAAUCCUCUCGCUUAACGAGAGAACUGCCCUGGAUACUGAGGACCUCGAGGGAGGUAGGGGCAUGUGGAACUUCCGGUGGAGCGGUGAAAUGCGUAGAUAUCGGAAGGAACGCCGGUGGCGAAAGCGACGUGCUGGACCUUUUCUGACGCUGAGGCGCGAAAGCCAGGGGAGCAAACGGG
rnacentral:rRNA from 1 species